rnacentral:snoRNA from 1 species
UCGCAUGAUGAUCAUCCUGAUAGGGACAUCUGAUAUGCAAUCAUAUGUGAUGUGAACAGGAAAGAGUAUUUUAGUAGAUGCCUCUUGGAAUCUGAAG